UGCUGCAUGGUUGUCGUCAGCUCGUGCCGUGAGGUGUCGGGUUAAGUCCCAUAACGAGCGCAACCCUUAUCGUUAGUUGCCAGCUGGUAAAGCAGGGGACUCUAGCGAAACUGCCACCGUAAGGUGAGAGGAAGGUGGGAUGACGUCAAAUCAGCACGGCCCUUAUGUCCAGGGCUACACACGUGUUACAAUGGCCGGCACAGAGGGCAGCUACCUGGUGAUAGGAUGCUAAUCUCGAAAAACCGGUCUCAGUUCGGAUCGAAGUCUGCAACUCGACUUCGUGAAGCUGGAUUCGCUAGUAAUCGCGCAUCAGCCAUGGCCGCGGUCGAAUACGUUCCGGGCCUU
rnacentral:rRNA from 1 species